rnacentral:lncRNA from 1 species
AAGUGUUCCUUUAGUGUUCCUUUUGUGCUCACUACUGACAUCCCUUGAAUAACAUUCAAUGGCAUUACAUUAAAAAAAAAAAAAACUGAUAACAUAAUUCCAGUUACAAGUCAUUUUUACAGUGAGACUGAGACUUUUUGGAAGAAACAUCCAAUGCUUGUGCUAGGAGAAUGGCUGGACAUGAAAUUCACACAAACUCAUUAACAGCAUCAGUAGAAGUGAAAGAAAGACCCUACUAUCUUCAGUAACUGAAUUUUAAUAACAGGUAUUUUUAAGUAGGCACUCAAGUGUAAGACAACCACAAAAUAAAAGACAUAGUGAUAUAAAAGAUCAUAGUGAUAGAAAUCUGAAAGCCAAGUUUUCUGUGGCUUUGUUUUUAGGGCAGUAAUAGUCAUGCUACCUAUGGACAUUUCAUAUCUCAAAAAAACCUGAUGUUAUAUCCACUGAUUCUGACAAUAUACAAAAAUACCCCGCAAAAAAUUGAAGAGCUUACACUACUUAUUAUUAAUAUAUUGGUACUGUUCUCUUACAUGAAAUAAAUACUUUGUAUGAGCUGUGAACAGCUACAGCUUUAUAAUUACUGCUUAGCCUACAUUUUAACAGUUGAAAUUACAUUGAAAUACAUUUUCAAUCACAUCUGAUAUAUUUUAAAAGCUAUUUGAAAUAUUAUAUAUAAAUUGGCAGAACAAUUACAUUUAUUUAUUCAAUUUUACAAAUUUAUUCAGGAAUUCAUCCCUAGAGGUCUGAAAAUUGUAACUAAUUUGCUAACAUUUCCAAGCUCUCAUGCAUAUAUUUUGGAUGAGAAUAAUUCCAUUGAAGUUUAACAGCUUGAUUCUUUCUACAUAGUAUUCUUCAUUAUAAACCAAUUAAUUUGGGAUGGUACAGAACAGAUAAAAUUGAUCCCAAAUAAAAAUAAUUCUAAUACCCUUUUCAAUCCACUCUUUAGCCACAGACUCUUUUCUCUUUUUUUUUUUUUUUUUUUAAUUUUUAUUUCUUAUUUUUUUUGUAGAGUACCUAUGUCUGACAGUGGUUCUUUAGAAUUUCCUCUAGAGACUCAGCCUGGAGACAAGACCACCAGAAGGAUGACAAUGCCUUUUGGGAAAACAAAACCAGUAGACAUUGGUAUUUUCUUGAACAGUCAUCUUCUUAAUGUUGAUAGCAAUUUAAAUCAAGGCUUUCCAGGUGCAACGGCAAGAAGUUAGCAUUUCUUCAAGCUCAUGACUGGGCAUCUUUCUGAAAAAGGAAAACCACAAGCAUGUGAUGGAAAUACAGCCAUACCUUGCUAAAUAAUGUGAAGCAUGGCAGUCAUAGCUGUUCAGUUCUUCCUGCUCAGCAUUGCAACAGUAGGAAAAACCUGAUGAGGAGAGAAGCUGCCACGUGGUGAAUUAUCUGUUCUGUGAAAUUCUGAAAUAAAUGAAUUACACUUUUCCUAGCA